rnacentral:tRNA from 1 species
GCAUUGGUGGUUGGGUGGUAGAAUUCUCAUAUUACAUGCGGGAGACCCAGGUUCAAUUCCUGACCAAUGCU